AGAGAGUCUCUGCUUCAGAGCAACCCUGUUGACCCAUCCCAGCAAGAGAAUACCCAGAGACGGGAGGAACAAGAGCACAGGUUUACGACGGAAGGGGAAAGGACCAAGGAGAGGAGGUGUGAGGGACAAGAGGAAGGUGGCUUCUGUUGAGCUCUGUCCUCUAUCGGAGCCCCCUGCUCCGCACUAGCAGAGGGCCAUGGACUGGACUGAGAGGCCCUCAGAGCUGCUGGAUAAUGUGUUUGAUGACCAGGGCUACCAGCAUGAGAGUAUUUUUAGAUUCUGGCUCCAAAGACCGCUUCUCAAGUAACGAGUCCAGGCUCUCCA
ensembl:lncRNA